rnacentral:pre_miRNA from 1 species
AAUAAAUAUAGUUUUGCACUAUUUACGUUCAACGUUUGACCGUUCGUCUUAUUUAAAUUUUUUUUAUGAUUAGUAUUUUUAUUGCUAUUAGAUGAUAAAACAUGAAUAGUACUUUAUGUGUGACUAAAUAUUUUCAAAUUUUUCAUAAAAUUUUCAAAUAAAACGGACGGUCAAACGUUGGGCACGGAUAUCCACGGCUGUAUUUAUU